rnacentral:rRNA from 1 species
UACGAAGGGGGCUAGCGUUGUUCGGAAUUACUAGGCGUAAAGCGUGCGCAGGCGGCUUCUCAAGUCAGGGGUGAAAGCCCAGAGCUCAACUCUGGAAUUGCCUUUGAGACUGAGUGGCUUGAGUACGAGAGAGGUGAGUGGAAUUCCCAGUGUAGAGGUGAAAUUCGUAGAUAUUGGGAAGAACACCGGUGGCGAAGGCGGCUCACUGGCUCGUAACUGACGCUGAGGCGCGAAAGCGUGGGGAGCAAACAGG